UACAGAGGUCUCGAGCGUUAGGCGGAAUCACUGGGCUUAAAGCGUGUGUAGGUGGAUCGUUAAGUACCUUGUGAAAUCCCACGGCUUAACCGUGGAACUGCUUGGUAUACUGGCGGUCUUGAGCCAGCUAGGGGCUACCGGAACAAAUGGUGGAGCGGUGAAAUGCGUAGAUAUCAUUUGGAACGCCAAUGGUGAAAACAGGUAGCUGGGGCUGUGCUGACACUAAGACACGAAAGCCAGGGGAGCAAACGGG
rnacentral:rRNA from 1 species